CGGGUGACGAGCGGCGGACGGGUGAGUAAUGUCUGGGAAACUGCCUGAUGGAGGGGGAUAACUACUGGAAACGGUAGCUAAUACCGCAUAACGUCGCAAGACCAAAGUGGGGGACCUUCGGGCCUCAUGCCAUCAGAUGUGCCCAGAUGGGAUUAGCUAGUAGGUGGGGUAAUGGCUCACCUAGGCGACGAUCCCUAGCUGGUCUGAGAGGAUGACCAGCCACACUGGAACUGAGACACGGUCCAGACUCCUACGGGAGGCAGCAGUGGGGAAUAUUGCACAAUGGGCGCAAGCCUGAUGCAGCCAUGCCGCGUGUAUGAAGAAGGCCUUCGGGUUGUAAAGUACUUUCAGCGAGGAGGAAGGCAUUAAGGUUAAUAACCUUAGUGAUUGACGUUACUCGCAGAAGAAGCACCGGCUAACUCCGUGCCAGCAGCCGCGGUAAUACGGAGGGUGCAAGCGUUAAUCGGAAUUACUGGGCGUAAAGCGCACGCAGGCGGUUUGUUAAGUCAGAUGUGAAAUCCCCGGGCUCAACCUGGGAACUGCAUUUGAAACUGGCAAGCUUGAGUCUUGUAGAGGGGGGUAGAAUUCCAGGUGUAGCGGUGAAAUGCGUAGAGAUCUGGAGGAAUACCGGUGGCGAAGGCGGCCCCCUGGACAAAGACUGACGCUC
rnacentral:rRNA from 1 species